UACGUAGGGUGCAAGCGUUUGUCCGGAAUUAUUGGGCGUAAAGAGCUUGUAGGCGGUUUGUCGCGUCUGCUGUGAAAUUUCGGGGCUCAACCCGUGAUGCACUGGAAACUGGAGAACUUGAGUGCAGAAGAGGAGAGCGGAAUUCCACGUGUAGCGGUGAAAUGCGUAGAGAUGUGGAGGAACACCAGUGGCGAAGGCGGCUCUCUGGACUGUAAAC
rnacentral:rRNA from 1 species